ensembl:lncRNA
AGAAAAGAGUGCCUCCUACUGGCCCUCCAACACCACUUCCAGCAGCAUCUGGUCUCCCAUCCAGGAACUGUCCAGGACCAACCCUGCUUAGCUUCAGAAGCAAGCCAGCAGUGGUAUGCAUACGCAUGCGUCGUAGACCUUUGAGAAGGAGGGUGAGAAAUGGUUGGGAGAGAGGGAAACAGAGAGACAUGGUUGGGAGAGAGAGGGAAACAGAGAGACAUUGGUUGGGAGAGAGAGGGAAACAGAGAGACAUUGGUUGGGAGAGAGAGGGAAACAGAGAGACAUUGGUUGGGAGAGAGAGGGAAACAGAGAGACAUGGUUGGGAGAGAGAGGGAAACUGAGACAGUGGUUGGGAGAGAGAGGGAAACAGAGAGACAUGGGAAACAGAGAGACAUGGUUGGGAGAGAGACAUGGUUGGGAGAGAGCGGGAAACAGAGAGACAUGG